rnacentral:tRNA from 1 species
CAAGGUAGCCGUACCGGAAGGUGCGGCUGGAUCACCUCCUAACAGGGAAGACAAACAACGAUUUUGAUGUCUGAGUACUUAAUUCUUAGGCCGAAAUCCUGUCACCUUAGGUCCAUCGGUACCUCAAUUUUGAAAUCAAGAAUGCAUAGCGAUAUGAAUUGCUUGAUGKAAAUUUUCAGUUCCUAAACUUUGUCUAGGUCACAUCCCACAAGGGUUGAGUCUUCCUGGGCCAUUAGCUCAGGUGGUUAGAGCGCACCCCUGAUAAGGGUGAGGUCCCUGGUUCAAGUCCAGGAUGGCCCAUUCGGUGUUGGGGGUUUAGCUCAGUUGGUAGAGCGCCUGCUUUGCAAGCAGGAUGUCAGGAGUUCGAGUCUCCUAACCUCCACUGAUCGAACUCAAUCUCCAUCUUCUGAAUAAUGGAAGGUGAACUCGAAUGUGAUGUGAUUUAGAUGUGUCCGCUGGCAUGACCCCAGCUUCCUGUCAUUCCGAAAUGACGUGAGUUAUCACAAUUUUUUGGUUGAUAAGAUGCUGGGCUCGAACUGUUUAAUCAGUUUGAUGUUUAGCAGAACCUUGACAACUGCAUAGGAAAAAG